rnacentral:rRNA from 1 species
UACGUAGGGACCGAGCGUUGUCCGGAUUCAUUGGGCGUAAAGAGCUCGUAGGCGGCUGUUCAAGUCGAACGUGAAAACUCGGGGCUCAACUCCGAGCCUGCGUUCGAUACUGGAUGGCUAGAGUCUGGUAGGGGGAUCUGGAAUUCCUGGUGUAGCGGUGGAAUGCGCAGAUAUCAGGAGGAACACCGGUGGCUAAGGCGGUUCUCUAGUACGGUACUGACGCUGAGACGCGAAAGCGUGGGGAGCGAACAGG